GGUGUCAUGGCUCAGUGGUUAAGGUAUUGAGUGACAGCUCAGAAGGUUGUGUGUUCAAAUCCCAGCUGUCAUCU